rnacentral:rRNA from 1 species
GGUUAAGCGACUAAGCGUACACGGUGGAUGCCCUGGCAGUCAGAGGCGAUGAAGGACGUGCUAAUCUGCGAUAAGCGUCGGUAAGGUGAUAUGAACCGUUAUAACCGGCGAUUUCCGAAUGGGGAAACCCAGUGUGUUUCGACACACUAUCAUUAACCGAAUCCAUAGGUUAAUGAGGCGAACCGGGGGAACUGAAACAUCUAAGUACCCCGAGGAAAAGAAAUCAACCGAGAUUCCCCAAGUAGCGGCGAGCGAACGGGGAGCAGCCCAGAGCCUGAAUCAGUGUGUGUGUUAGUGGAAGCGUCUGGAAAGGCGCGCGAUACAGGGUGACAGCCCCGUACACAAAAAUGCACAUAUUGUGAGCUCGAUGAGUAGGGCGGGACACGUGGUAUCCUGUCUGAAUAUGGGGGGACCAU